rnacentral:rRNA from 1 species
GUAGGUGGCAAGCGUUGUCCGGAAUUAUUGGGCGUAAAGCGCGCGCAGGCGGUUCUUUAAGUCUGAUGUGAAAGCCCACGGCUCAACCGUGGAGGGUCAUUGGAAACUGGAGAACUUGAGUACAGAAGAGGAAAGCGGAAUUCCACGUGUAGCGGUGAAAUGCGUAGAGAUGUGGAGGAACACCAGUGGCGAAGGCGGCUUUCUGGUCUGUAACUGACGCUGAGGCGCGAAAGCGUGGGGAGCAAACAGGACUAGAUACCCUGGUAGUCCACGCCGUAAACGAUGAGUGCUAAGUGUUAGGGGGGUUUUCCGCCCCCCUUAGUGCUGCAGCUGACGCAUUAAGCACUCCGCCUGGGAGUACGGCCGCAAGGCUG